rnacentral:rRNA from 1 species
UACCAUCUCCGACCUCAGAUCGGACGAGAUUACCCGCUGAAUUUAAGCAUAUAACUAAGCGGAGGAAAAGAAACUAACAAGGAUUUCCCCAGUAACGGCGAGUGAAGCGGAAAUAGCCCAGCACCGAAUCCCUCAGUGUCACGCUGACGGGAACUGUGGUGUAUGGGACGCCACCAGUCGCAUCAGUGGGCACCGAAGUCCUCCUGAUCGAGGCUUCACCCAGAGCGGGUGUAAGGCCUUUGCAGGUGCCCUACUGUGCGGCCGCGAGCGUCUCAGGAGUCGGGUUGUUUGGGAAUGCAGCCCAAAGCGGGUGGUAACUCCAUCUAA